rnacentral:snRNA from 1 species
AGGUAUAAAGAAGGAGGGUGUGUU